AAUGAACGCUGGCGGCGCGCCUAAUACAUGCAAGUCGAGCGAGAAGACGUAGCAAUACGUUUGUAAAGCGGCGAACGGGUGAGGAAUACAUGGGUAACCUACCCUCGAGUGGGGAAUAACUAGCCGAAAGGUUAGCUAAUACCGCGUACGCUUCUUGGACUUCGGUUCAGGGAGGAAAGCGAUGCCGAGGGUAUCGCGCUCUUGGAUGGGCUCAUGUCCUAUCAGCUUGUUGGGAGGUAACGGCUCACCAAGGCUUCGACGGGUAGCUGGUCUGAGAGGACGAUCAGCCACACUGGCACUGCGACACGGGCCAGACUCCUACGGGAGGCAGCAGUAAGGAAUAUUGCGCAAUGGGCGAAAGCCUGACGCAGCGACGCCGCGUGGGGGAUGAAGGUCUUCGGAUUGUAAACCUCUUUCAGCUCCGCGAAGCGAGAGUGACGGUAGGAGCAGAAGAAGCACCGGCCAACUACGUGCCAGCCGCCGCGGUAAC
rnacentral:rRNA from 1 species